rnacentral:rRNA from 1 species
CGUCUAGGCGGGGGAUUAAGUUGGGUGUGAAAGCCUUGGGCUCAACUCGAGAAUUGCACCCAAAACUGAUUCUCUUGAGUUCGGGAGAGGAGAGCGGAAUUCCCGGUGUAGCGGUGAAAUGCGUAGAUAUCGGGAAGAACACCAGUGGCGAAGGCGGCUCUCUGGCCUAGAACUGACGCUGAAGCGCGAAAGCGUGGGGAGCGAACG